GAAUGCUGACAUAAGUAACGAUAAAGCGGGUGAAAAGCCCGCUCGCCGGAAGACCAAGGGUUCCUGUCCAACGUUAAUCGGGGCAGGGUGAGUCGACCCCUAAGGCGAGGCCGAAAGGCGUAGUCGAUGGGAAACGGGUUAAUAUUCCCGUACUUGGUGUUACUGCGAAGGGGGGACGGAGAAGGCUAUGUUGGCCGGGCGACGGUUGUCCCGGUUUAAGCGUGUAGGUGUGUGUUCCAGGUAAAUCCGGUUCACUUUAACACUGAGGCGUGAUGACGAGGCACUACGGUGCUGAAGCAACAAAUGCCCUGCUUCCAGGAAAAGCCUCUAAGCAUCAGGUAACAUCAAAUCGUACCCCAAACCGACACAGGUGGU
rnacentral:rRNA from 1 species